ACAGCGUCAUAGUGGUGAGAACCCCGUAACUGAUGCGGAUGCCCGGUGCUUUGUGAUACACUUUCGAAGAGUCGAGUUGUUUGGGAAUGCAGCUCAAAUUGGGUGGUAAAUUCCAUCUAAAGCUAAAUAUUGGCGAGAGACCGAUGCGAACAAGUACCGUGAGGGAAAGAUGAAAAGCACUUUGGAAAGAGAGUUAACAGUACGUGAAAUUGUUGGAAGGGAAACGCUUGAAGUCAGACUUGCUAUUUGGAAUUCAGCCGCAAGGUGUACUUUUCAAUUCGCAGGCCAGCAUCAGUUUUCGGGGGUGGAAAAGGGUAGAGAGAAGGUAGCAAUUUCGGUUGUGUUAUAGCUCUUUGCUGGAUUCAUCCUUGGGGACUGAGGAACGCAGUACGCUUUUUGCAAGGCUUUCGAGCUUUUCGUGCUUAGGAUGCUGGUGGAAUGGCUUUAAACGACCCGUCUUGAAACACGGACCAAGGAGUCUAACAUGCU
rnacentral:rRNA from 1 species